CAUUAAGAAGCUAUGCAACAGCACUAGCCUUUUAAGCUAGCUACAGGGGACAUAUUCCCCCUUAAUGG
rnacentral:tRNA from 1 species